GCGUGACGGCCACGUCGUACUCGGUUUGGGAGAUGAGGCUGGACAGGUCCAGCGUGGUGACGUCGCCGUCGACUUCCAUCUGCAGGGACAAGACGUCUUCAGCGGUAAUCCGUAAGAGCAGUCGUGGAUUCAUCCAUCACAGCAUCCUGGAAACGUCUUCCUGGGAAGGGGGGGGGGUGGGCUCCUCCGGCUGCCAAUUCAUCCCAGACUGUUUGUCCUUCGCUGACAUCCGAGUGAGGGGGGGAGUGGGGUUCUCUCUGCCAGCAGACGGCUUUUAUCACAGAGGUCUGGCUGCUGCUGUGACUUCCUGGUCUCCCUCCCAGAGCCAAGGUCAGCUCAGCUACAGCGCCCAACCCCAAAAAAACCAAACGUCCAAACGGUUGGCUUGUUGGAGCCAUAUUUUCUGUUUUGUUACAAAUCAUUUAUUUGUUUUGUUGGUGGGAAUUAUGCGUAUUCUCUUAAUGUAUUUUUUGUUCAUAUUUGAAAUAACUUUCUUUAUGAUGCAUUAGAUGCACCUGAUGAGGAUCAGCGCAUAAGAGGAGGGGGUGGGACUGAGGCACCGGGGCUGGCUUUUGUAUUGGACGGGACAUCGGCACAGUCUUUCGACCUUACGUUGUCCACUCUGUUAAUUAUGUUCAAAUGAAACGACCAAAUGUAAAACUUAAAAAAUAAACAACGUGAAAUGGAA